rnacentral:rRNA from 1 species
UACGGAGGGUGCGAGCGUUGUCCGGAAUCACUGGGCGUAAAGGGCGCGUAGGCGGCUCGUGAAGUCAGUGGUGAAAGCCCAGGGCUCAACUCUGGGUCGGCCACUGAUGACUCGCGAGCUCGAGUUUGGUAGAGGCAGAUGGAAUUCCGGGUGUAGCGGUGGAAUGCGUAGAGAUCCGGAAGAACACCGGUGGCGAAGGCGGUCUGCUGGGCCGAAGACUGACGCUGAGGCGCGACAGCGUGGGGAGCAAACAGG